CAGGCCUAAUACAUGCAAGUCGAGGGGUAGAGCUAGCUUGCUAGCUUGAGACCGGCGCACGGGUGCGUAACGCGUAUGCAACCUACCUUCAUCAGGGGGAUAGCCCGGAGAAAUCCGGAUUAACACCGCAUGAAAUCACAGAACGGCAUCGUUCAAUGAUCAAACAUUUAUGGGAUGGAGAUGGGCAUGCGUGUCAUUAGUUAGUUGGCGGGGUAACGGCCCACCAAGACCGCGAUGACUAGGGGAUCUGAGAGGAUGACCCCCCACACUGGUACUGAGACACGGACCAGACUCCUACGGGAGGCAGCAGUAAGGAAUAUUGGUCAAUGGGCGAGAGCCUGAACCAGCCAUGCCGCGUGCAGGAAGACGGCCCUCUGGGUUGUAAACUGCUUUUAUUCGGGAAUAAACCUACUUACGUGUAAGUAGCUGAAUGUACCGAGGGAAUAAGGAUCGGCUAACUCCGUGCCAGCAGCCGCGGUAAUACGGAGGAUCCAAGCGUUAUCCGGAUUUAUUGGGUUUAAAGGGUGCGUAGGCGGCCUGUUAAGUCAGGGGUGAAAGACGGUAGCUCAACUAUCGCAGUGCCCUUGAUACUGAUGGGCUUGAAUGGACUAGAGGUAGGCGGAAUGUGACAAGUAGCGGUGAAAUGCAUAGAUAUGUCACAGAACACCGAUUGCGAAGGCAGCUUACUAUGGUCCUAUUGACGCUGAGGCACGAAAGCGUGGGGAUCAAACAGGAUUAGAUACCCUGGUAGUCCACGCCCUAAACGAUGAACACUCGCUGUU
rnacentral:rRNA from 1 species